UUUUGUUUGCAACAAGCCAGGGCAUCUAGCCAGAGACUGCUGAAGCAAGGGACAACAGGCCAGAGGACGUGGAUGUCAUUCCGGAGGCUUCAACAGGAGCAGAGGUGCGUCUAACAACUUCUCUGGACUUACGGUAAUGAUGGCUGCAAAUGAAGACACGGAUCAACAGACCAACAAGUGGGUGCUGGACUCAGGUGCAACUCAUCAUAUCACAAACAAUCUUUCUUGUCUGAGAAAUGUGCAGUCAACAGAAGGAGCGACUGUUACUUUGGCUGAUGGGUCAUUUAAAUUGUUUUCUCAAUUUGGCACUUGUUAUACUCCCUGUUUGAGAGUGUAUUGGGAAAAAGUUUUGUAUGUACCUGAAAUGAAAUCUAUUCUGCUAAGUGUUGCCACCUUAACAGACCACCAGUAUAAAGUGCAUUUUAAAGGUAUAUAUUGUUAUGUUUAUGACAGAGAAGGAAAGCUAGUAGGAAAAGGAGUAAAACGGAACAAGAUGUAUGAAAUGUUUGACAAAGUAAAUAGCAUUGAUCACGAAAACGUAGAAAUCAUUUGUGUUGGAGGUCAGAUACAACAUGACCAUUGUGUACAUUUGUUCCAUAGAGUCAUGGGUCAUGCAAACAUGGAUAUUCUGAAGAAGACACUUGAUUUAAGCCCAGAGUAUAAAAUGGAGUCUUGCCAUUAUGAACUAGAUUGUGCCAUAUGCAAACAGGUGAAAAAGGUACCUGUGAAGUUUUACAAAAGGUCAAAGAUUAAGGUAACCAGUUUGUUUGAAAAGGCACAUGUUCAGAUUGAAGGGCCAUUUGUGGAAAGUACUGGUGGGUCGAAAUAUAUGAUGUUGUUUGUAGAGAGAUUGAGCAGAUUUGGUUACAUAUAUUUCUUCAAAGAAUUAUCUGAAGCAACUAAAAAAUUAUCUAAUUGGCUGAGUUUAAUUGAAAAUGUGUAUGAUAAGAAAUUGGAUACUCUCAUAAUUGACAAAGGGGCAGAAGUUUGUAUUGAUGAGUUCAAGAAGCUAUUGAGGUCAAAGAACAUUGUUUAGAAAUUGGACAGUUUAAGGCUGAAGAAGGGAUUGCAGAGAAAAGAGUGCAAGUCCUAAAUGAAAUGAAAACAUGUAUGUUUAAAGAUAGCCAUAUUUCUAACAGCUAUUGGCCUGAGGUGCUUCAUACUUGCAAUUACAUAACGAAUAGGUUGUGGGAUGAGUGUGUACAAGAUAUUCCAUUUCGUAAAGUGUACAAUUAUGUUCCAAAUUACAAAUUCCUAAGAAUUUUUGGUCAGAGAGCAAAUGUAUUAAUUCCGGCAAAAGAAAGGACCCAAAAGAAGCAAAGGCACAAGGAAAUGACUUUCAUUGGAUAUUACAAAAGGUCUUAUAAGUUUUUAGAACCACCACAAACAGUCAAAAUAUCCAGAAUAGCUUAUUUUGAGAGACCUAAUGAUUGGAAACAGAUUCAUUCGAAUUCGGAACAGCUGCAUGGUUUCCAGAAAGCGAGAGACAUUGUUACAAGCGAGGAACAGCAUUUAGUUAAAUCUGAGUCUGAAACACCUAAGAAAGUUACAUCAGGUAGUGAACAUGGGUUGAGUACACAAAAGAAGGCUAGCAUUGGAACACCGAAAGGCAAAAUAACAACUAAGCAAAUAAAACAAGAGACCACAGAAAAUGUGUGCAUGAGUGUAGGAAAGAAAGAAAGAAAAAGAUGUGCCCUAGUGCCGUAUUUGUCUGAUCCAACAAAGUUCCACAUGUCACCUGUUGGAAAAGACUAUGUUGGCAGUGGUGGAUAUGAAAUAGUUGAUUGUUAUUGAUAAAGUGUUAUAAAACAUUCAGUGUGAAAAACCAUGAGAUGUAAUGAAUGUACAAUAAGUUGAUUCUUGUGUGCUUAGGUGAUGUAUAUAUUUAAGAAGACAAAAUUACAUUUAAAGAGGGGGAAUUGUUAAUGUGGGAUUUGUGUAUUAGUAGUGUUUAAAUGAAAUUUGUGUCUAGCAUGUAUUGCAUCAUCCAGGAAAUGCUAUAGUGUGUAAAGAGUUAAUUUGGUAAGAAGUGCAUUUAUCCUGUGUGGCUGGAACACAGAGAGGAGUGUCCAGACUACAAGUGUGUUUGUAUAUAGCUGAUUGCAUCAGAUGAGUUCUGUUCUGCCUGCUGAGAAGAUCUGUACUGUUUGUCUAGAGUGGAAGUCCUAUGUCUAUCGUCUGCAAGUAUGUUUGUCUUGUCCAGUAAAUUUUUGUAAAUACUUUUUACAUCGUCUCUGAUCGUCUCUUCUGUUUCUGCGCUCAACUGAUGUCAUACAUCUGCUGCUACGCUGUGCGCAUUACUCUGUCAAAAUGUGGAAGAGUGGACUGCAUUGUGCAAGUUCAAAAGUGCAUACCCACUCCUCGAAUUAUAGAAUAGAAUUCCAUAAAGUCCUUUUUCCUGAACAUAAUUUUUCUGGCCAUACAAAUGCUUGAUGCAUAGAUGGGAAAAUAAGCAUCCAGAAAUUCACGAUGCAAAUUAAAUUCUAUGGUUUAUUAUGCAAGAAUCUCUAUGAGGAUGCCUAUGAAGGCCAAGCUUUAACACAGCAGUUGAAUCUUGCCAACUGGAAGAUUGGGAGUUUGAAGCCAGGGUCAGGAUGAGCUCCUGAUCUUUAGCCCAGCUUCUGCCUACCUAACAGUUCAAAAACAAAUGUGAACAGAAAAAUAAGAACCACAUUAAAGCGGGGAGGUAUUUAGUCUUGCUGUUUCAAUCUGAAAAAGGAGGAUGUUUAUGAGCAAAGAAAGCUCUUCAGCAGGGAGAUGGUGCGCCAGCACUAUCCAUGGCCAAAACUGAGCACAGCCUCUAAAAGAUGCCGAAAAGAUGGGAAAGCUUAUAUAUACCUCUAUAUGUUGUCUGUCUUGCCAUUGUUAUCGGCAUUGAAUGUUUGCCGUAUAUGUGUUCUGUGAUCCGCCCUGAGUCUCCUUUGGGGUGAAAAGGACUGUAAAUAAAUACUAUAUAUAAAUAAAUAGGACUAUUUAUGUGCAUACACAUCAUUGUGUACACAGUCUAUUGUUACACCUGUUAUUUUCUGGAUUGGGGCUAUUAUGAUAAUGUAUUCACUGGCCAUGAUCCAGUGGUAAGCAUGAGUAUCCAAGUAAGACUUUGUUUCCCAUUAUCUCUUGCUGCAACCUUCCCAGACAUUUUCCAGUCCUCUAAAGGAGGGCUUUUGAAGUUUUCACAGGGAUACUUUCAAGUAUAAGAAGUGCAGCAGGAAUAUUUUCUUAGAGUCUAACAAAUGUGCCUGUGGGACAUGCUGAAAACCAGCAUUGCAUAAUCUAGUGACCACAAUCUAUUCACGUUUACAUCCAUUCUCUCCUGCUUCAUGGCCAAUAGCAGGUAACUAUAGUCCAAACUAUUCAAUAGAACCCAAUAUUGGAAAGCUUGACGAAGAUAGGUAAUUCUUUUCUUUUGUUUCAAAUCAGUUUUACAACAAGAAGUAAUACACUGGCAUGUGUAUCAUUGUGACCUCGAAGCAGAACAAACUCAAUCUACCCUUUUCUUUCUAUACUGUCUGCAAACUACUGCUCUCCUGUGUUACUGUGAUUCUGGAAAGCACUGCAGGAAGCUCAAGCAUGAUGAGAUGUUUCUUUUCCACAUGGAAGGAAAAUGCUGACUGAUUAGCAUAAGAGGAAAAUAUAUCACCUGCGAAUUUAUGACAGGUUGGAUGGAGUUUUCACAAAAUAAAUGUGCUAUGGGGCUGCAUACUACAUUCAACUCCAUGGAAAAAAAAUUGGUGAAUUACUUUGGGAAUGCAGUGGUUUAAUCCGGGACAAACUGGUAAGUAACCUUGAUUAUUUUCCCCUUCUCAUCCCAUGUAAGUGGAUAUAUCUGGCUGUAAAGGAAAUUUGGCUUGUUUUUGUUUAUCCUUUGGGAUUAUUUGCUUUGUUGUGCUUGUGAGAAAUAGCGGAUAGGAUUAUUAGGCUGAUCACGCUGGACUGGUCAUUGCAUUCCCUGCACAGAAAUCAGCUAAGCCUGGGCCAUUCUGAGGUUCAUUUAAAAAGCUCUGCCACUACUAAGGAAAUAUGUCAAAGGAGGCACACUCUCUGCAAAGAACAAAAUAUUUGUAUACAGAUCAGAAUUUGCUCCAUCAUGUACCUUUAACCAACGUUAUUGCUGUAAACCAUGGUACUAGAAAGUGAAAAGUGGCCAUUCAUGCACUCUCUCUCUCUCUCCCCCCCCCCUCUCGUUAACUCACUGUCUUGUUUUCUCUCUCUCCCAUACAUGUAUGCUUAGUUUAAGUUCUUUGGUGACAUCUUUUGUAUUUCUAGCACCUAAGACAUUGAAUGGCAUGUCCAUUAUUUGCUUUUCAGGUUAAAUUAGUUGAAUCUGCAGUGAAAGUAACUGGAGGAUCUAGCAAGCUGUUCGCAUCAUAUAAAUAAAGGGGAUGGGGAGGGCAGAGAGAUGCUGUGUCGUGACAAAAUUACAAACUUUUUUUUUAAAGAAAGCAUGGGUAAAGGAGAAGAAGAAGGUGAGGCUUUGAAUCAGGAGAUCAAGGGAUUGGAGCUGGAAGGGAAAUCAAAGUGCUCAAGUGCAAGAUAAAUGCUGAGGAGGUUUUGUGUAGGGAUGGGGUCUUGCUGCUGGAGCUCACAAUCUACAGAAGCUCUUAUACUUUUGUAUUCAGAUUAUUUCUCACAGCAGGUUUCCUUGGCUUCUGGGCCUUCCUUUUUUGUCUCUGAGAUGAUUAGAGAAACUGGGAUUCCUUAUAGUCAUUCUCACUCUCUGCUAUGCCAUUUCUGCUGUUCUUCCUGCCUCUCUCAUUAUUUGCUUCAGCUUUCAAGCACUCCAAGACAGCAGGCUCAGAACAAAGGACUACCAUUACACUCAUCUGUAUUUAUCCUUCUGUGGAGCUGGAGAAAUUUGGGUCUGCCACUGAAUCAAUGGUAUGAAGAUUCACCUUCAUCUCCUUCACCUUACUUUACUUCAAUCAUCCUGAAUUGAACUGCAAUUUCAUCCUUACAUUUAUCAACAGCCUCAUCAGCAAGGGGCUUUCCAUUAUAACAUAUAAAAAACGUUUUUUCGUCUUACACUUCUGCAGCAUAGCCAAGACAGAAGAUACCCAAGGAGACUUGUUAGUUAUUACUUUCAUAUCCCCGAAGUGAAUGCAAUGGAAAAUUAGGACUCUGUCUCUGCAGAUAAAAACUGGGGGCAGAGGAGAUAGGUAGUUGAGGAAUUUAACCCUAAGAUCUUUGUUAAUGUUGUUGGUUUUCUUUUAUUAUGAUUUGCACCUUACAAUCAAAAAUAUCCUGACAUUUCAGAUACAGACAGUUCUGUCUUAAAAAAAUAGUCCUGAAAUGGGUUCAAACAUAGCAAACUUGAUUAUUUGUUUAUUUCUGGAAUUUAUAUCCUUAUUGAGGAGGGCAGGCUAGUUGUUUCUAUGUGAAUAGAGUUUGGUCGAAGCUACCCUAAAAGCAGCAAAUUCUGUGGAAGCUAAGCAGAGUGAGCCCUGAUUAGUCCCUGGAUGGGAGGCUGCCAAUGAAUAGCUGGUGUUGUAGGCUAUAUUUCAGAAAGAACAUGUCAGGAAGCUGAAGCUCCUGAAGAGUAGUCCAAGGUCACAACAAAAUCAGUCUGAACAGAGUCCAAGUCACAAAGCGAAUCCAAUUAUCUGUUCCAAAGGUCAAUAACAAAGGGUCCAGCAAAUGUCCAAAACAAGUAGCACACAUGAAGUCCAAGGUUCAUAAUACAAGGAUCAAAAUUACUGGCUGAAACAUUCCAUACAUGACUAUUGCUUCCAGCAAGGGGCUCUUCCAAAUGCCGGCCCUUUAUGCUGCUCCUGCAAAGCCCUUACAGCUGUGCUCUCUUUCUUUGGGCAAAACGAUUGGACCUAAGCAGCUCAAUAGUAUCCACUAGGGGUGUGCACAGUAUCUGGCAAUUUUGUCAGUUUCAGAAACUGAACCUCCGGAAAUGGGACAGGUGAUGGGACUAUGUGGUGAACCGGAUCAUGUGGUGGCUGAAAUCAGAUGCUUUUUGAUGCUUUCAGCUGCUCUAGAGCAAUAGCCACACAUGUACACACUGGGUAUUUUGCCUUUAGCCUUGCCUGACCCAAUCAGAUCAAGAAAGCGGAUCAUGUGUUUCACUCUUUUUUUUGGGGCAAUUUUAUUACAUUUACUUCAGUCCUUUUUUUUACUAAUUCGCUAGGGGAGGUAAGGGUGGGUGUGCAUUG